AGAAAAUUAUUGAAAAUCUUACAAAAAAUUAUCUUUAUAUUUUUUUCUUGAUAAAAUUAACUAGCUUUUUCGAAGGAAGGACCAUUUUUAGUCAUCUUAAAUCAAAAUAUUCCUAGCAUGAGAAAAAGAAAGAGUAGGACAAGAAUAUACAUUAUAUAUGAAGUAAAAUAUGGAAUAAAAUAGUUAAGAGGGAAGAUAAUGGAGAGAG
rnacentral:lncRNA from 1 species